rnacentral:lncRNA from 1 species
UUAGUAUGUAACAAGUACUUUUUAGAAUGCAUGAUAAUAAGUCUAUCAUAUAAAUGUUUACAAGAUUCAUAGACAUAAAGAUUUAUAUUAAUGAUAAAUUGGUGAGAAAAUUUUUUAAGUGUCUACCAAGAACAUGGGAAGCUAAGGUGACAACUAUUCAAGGAGUGAAGGAUCUCAACAAAUUAAGCCUAGAUGAGCUAUUAGGAUCGCUUCUCACACAUGAUUACAAUGAAGAAAAAAGAUGAUGUUGAAGAAAAAAAAAGGUUAUUGUACUUAAAGCAUCUUCCAAGUGAGAAGAUUGAUGAACAAAUGUAGGAUGAGAAAGAACUCGCAUUC